UACGGAGGAUCCAAGCGUUAUCCGGAAUCAUUGGGUUUAAAGGGUCCGUAGGCGGUUUUGUAAGUCAGUGGUGAAAGCCCAUCGCUCAACGGUGGAACGGCCAUUGAUACUGCAAGACUUGAAUUAUUGUGAAGUAACUAGAAUAUGUAGUGUAGCGGUGAAAUGCUUAGAGAUUACAUGGAAUACCAAUUGCGAAGGCAGGUUACUAACAAUAUAUUGACGCUGAUGGACGAAAGCGUGGGUAGCGAACAGG
rnacentral:rRNA from 1 species